rnacentral:rRNA from 1 species
UGCUGUGAGCUCGAUGAGUAGGGCGGGACACGUGGUAUCCUGUCUGAAUAUGGGGGGACCAUCCUCCAAGGCUAAAUACUCCUGACUGACCGAUAGUGAACCAGUACCGUGAGGGAAAGGCGAAAAGAACCCCGGCGAGGGGAGUGAAAAAGAACCUGAAACCGUGUACGUACAAGCAGUGGGAGCCCCACCACUAAGCCAGUGGUGAACUCCACAUACGCAUCCUUUGCUGAGGAUACGGUUAACGGAGCGAAAGCGACGUUCAACCGCAAAAGAAGCAGAGGGGGCUUAGUGGUGGGGUGACUGCGUACCUUUUGUAUAAUGGGUCAGCGACUUAUAUUCUGUAGCAAGGUUAACCGAAUAGGGGAGCCGGAGGGAAACCGAGUCUUAACCGGGCGUUAAGUUGCAGGGUAUAGACCCGAAACCCGGUGAUCUAGCCAUGGGCAGGUUGAAGGUUGGGUAACACUAACUGGAGGACCGAACCGACUAAUGUUGAAAAAUUAGCGGAUGACCUGUGGCUGGGGGUGAAAGGCCAAUCAAACCGGGAGAUAGCUGGUUCUCCCCGAAAGCUAUUUAGGUAGCGCCUCGUGAAUUCAUCUCCGGGGGUAGAGCACUGUUUCGGCUAGGGGGCCAUCCCGGCUUACCAACCCGAUGCAAACUGCGAAUACCGGAGAAUGUUAUCACGGGAGACACACGGCGGGUGCUAACGUCCGUCGUGAAGAGGGAAACAACCCAGACCGCCAGCUAAGGUCCCAAAGUCAUGGUUAAGUGGGAAACGAUGUGGGAAGGCCCAGACAGCCAGGAUGUUGGCUUAGAAGCAGCCAUCAUUUAAAGAAAGCGUAAUAGCUCACUGGUCGAGUCGGCCUGCGCGGAAGAUGUAACGGGGCUAAACCAUG